GCUUCCUGAGGUUAACAACAUAUGCUGCCCAGAAGAGGAAGAGAAGUGGCUGGAGUUGCUGGGGUAACAGCUGAAACCACACAGGAAGUCUCAGAGGUGAGCUCAGUUACUACACCCCACAGGCCAGCGCAGAGAGCAUUUCACAGAUAGGUUCGCUGUGAUACAAAGACAAAUGAGGAGUGGAGAAGUUGCUCUGAAAGGCUUGAAAAGGACACGGACUUGGAGUUUUCUGGAGGACACAAACCGUGGGCAGUGAGAAUAGAGCCACCAAGCCCCGGCACCAUUGUGCUGCCUCACCAAGGAAGGGCUCUCGCACAUUGCAACGUGGAAGCACGCCCUUUCUCACUUCAGCUUCCCAAAUGACUGCUCAGUGUCCUCCAGAUCAGAAUUGCAUCUUUGAUGUUUGACAAGCUGCAAGCCCUAAGCCAGACCCUCAGCAGAAACUCCCAUUUAAGAAGACAGAGUCCACAUUCUCCAAAAUCCUCUCUAAGCGCCAGUGCAAGCUUCUACCGACACAUUAUCUAAGUAUGGGUCCCAGCACUCCUCAGUCUUCAUUGCUGCUCCACCCUAAUUCAGCCAUUUGCCUCUAGAGAGAGAAAACCAUCACAAAAAGCUGAUUCCUGAAUGUAGCUCCUCCCUCUCCAUGAAGGGUAACCUGUGUCUGCCUUCCUCAUCACAUACACGAGCUGUAAUGCUGAAACAUGGAGUUCUGAGGGAAAAUCUCAUGGAAAUUUUAUUUUAUUAACCAUCAUUUUACCUUCUUAACCAUACUGUCAGCUUCAGAACUAAAAGGUUGCAGAAAAAAAUCAAACCACCAAGCUAUUUUGGUAACAUUGCUCUAUAUAAUAAUCUACCUUAACAACAGCAUCAUAGCCCUUUACUGAUAGGCCGAUAAUAUUGUUUCUGACAGAAGUUGUAAAGACCAAAGAAUUUCAAGUUAUAAUAAGCACUACAAAAACUUUUAUCCAGUGCUGUUAUGUCCACUUGGUUCCGUUUUAUUAAUGACAUAUGUUGUUUCCGGUGAAACACUGCCGAAAAUUGGAGCAACAAGAAAAAACA
rnacentral:lncRNA from 1 species